AUGGAAGCCUUCGCCGCCGCCCCCGCGGCCGGCGUCUUCGCGGCCGCGCGGCCCUCCGUCGCGCUCCGCCGCCGCGGCGGCAGCAGAGGGGCCUCCUCCUCUUACUCGCGCACCGGCGCCGGACGGGUGCGCCUCGUCCGCGCGCCGCCGCCGCCGCGCGCCGGGGGCGGGGACGGCGGGGGCGACCUGCCGGCUCUAGACAAGUGGGACAUGAUGGAGCUCGAGUUCGGGCGGUUCCUCGGGGAGGACCCCAAGCUCACCCUCGCCAAGAUACUGCUCAAGAAGUCAGACCCGGAUGCUUCAUCCCUCGAUGUAGAGAAACUAGUUGCCAGCAAAAAGGACACGCUGGAUGUUAUUUUGAAGGAGUUCAUGGAGGCUAAUAAGACGGACAAGACUGCCACCACAGGAGAGGCAAUAAGCGCACCAAUGAAAGAAAAACAACCUUUGGGUGUUUCAAGGCCUGCAGUGAGCAAACCAAAGCUGGAUGAGGCUUCUUUGGCUAUGAUACGGCCAGCAGGAAGCAAACCAAAGCAAGCUGAGCCUCCUUUGACUUUCAUGAGACCAGCAGUGAGCAAACCAAAGGUAAAUAAGCCUUCUUUGACCUUGAUGCGGCCAAUGGGGAGCAAACCAAAAGUACAAGCUAAGCUGGUGCAAGAUAGUUGGCCUAGCAAGGAGAGUUUAGCUGCAGGGACCGAGUUAAGUGAGGUUGGAAGUACCACAACAGAGGAUAUUGUGGACGUCACCUUGCGUAAACCCGUUGUGCAUCAGAGUGAAGAUGAUGAACAGGAGCCGGAGCUGAAGAUGAAACCAAAUGUCGACAUGAAAAUGAGGAAGGAUAUGGAUGAGGAUUUAUCCAACAUUUCUCUUCUCCAAAAGCCAGAGGCCGCAAAAGAGACUGCUAAUGCACUUGGCUCGACCUUAGUUGCUGCUGGAGAGGAUACCAAUGAACGCGAGGAAGGACUGCAACCAUCUGAGGAAAGUUUAACUCAACAAAUAGACUCGCCUGCUCUGGAUAAACCAUCAGUGACCGACAACAAUUUUUCUAUGCAAGCUUUCUUGCAAGGAAGACCGAGGAAAGACCUGCCUGUUGAAACUUCACCAUCUCAAGUGGAUGCUGAGAAGAGAAGUGAUAGUGAUGAUAAAAAAAGUUAUGUUGACGAUGGGGGCAAUGUCUUAUCAUCAACAUUAGAGGACAUUACUGAGAGUGACUGGACAAGGCUAGAGCAUUAUGCAAGUACUGGAGAAAGGGUUGAGGUAGAACUUAUUAACUGCAGUGCAAAGGGAUUUGUGGUGUCACUCGACUCAAUGAUAGGUUUCUUACCAUAUCGUAAUCUUGCUACCAAAUGGAAAUUCUUAGCUUUUGAGACUUGGUUAAGAAGGAAGGGUGGUGAUCCUUCCUUGUACAAGCAGAGUAUGAGCAUGGAGGAAGGUCCCGAGGUUAGUGAUAGGAGCAUAGAACCAGAAUCAGUUUCAGAAGUAGCUCAUCAGGACCAAGGAACUCUGCAGUCUAGGCUGAAGUUUGAAGAACUUCUUCGAACAUAUGAUGAAGAGAAAUCCAAGUUCUUAUCAUCAUUUAUCGGUCAAAGGCUCCGAGUGUCAGUUGUCCUGGCUGAUAGAAAUUCCAAGCGACUAUUUUUCUCCAUGAGGCCAAAAGAAAGUGACGAGUUGAUUCAGAAAAGGAAAAGCCUGAUGGCUAGGCUUAAUGUUGGAGAUAUCGUCACAUGCACUAUCAAGCGAUUUGUUUACUUUGGGAUAUUUGUUGAGGUUGAAGGAGUUCCUGCACUGAUUCAGCAGUGGGAAGUGUCCUGGGAUGAGACCUUAGAUCCAUCAGUUUCUUACAGAAUUGGUCAGGUUGUUGAUGCUAAAGUUAUUCAACUGGAUUUCAACAAUAGCCGUAUCUUUUUGUCACUUAAAGAUGUAAAGCCAAGUCCGCCAGUAGGAGCUUUGGAAGCAGUCAUUGGCGAUGAAGCGUCACUUGAUGGAUCUCUAGAACCUGCACAAGCAGAUUUUGAGUGGCCUGAGGUGGAUUCCCUUAUUGAGGAGCUGAAAAACAUAGAGCAAGUUAAAGAUGUUUAUAAAGGAAGGUUCUUCCGGAGCCCAGGAUUAGCUCCAACAUUCCAGGUAUAUAUGGCAUCUUUGGUUGGCCAAAAGUAUAAGGUCCUUGCGCGGUAUGGAAACAAUGUGCAAGAGGUGAUGGUGGAGACGUCGUUAGACAAAGAAGGGCUGAAAGAGGCAAUUUUGAUGUGCACAAACAGGGUGAGCUGA
rnacentral:rRNA from 1 species